rfam:Dictyostelium lacteum strain TK GAOABQK02H81I9, whole genome shotgun sequence.
GAAGCCAUAGCGCAGUGGUAGCGUAGCAGUCUCCAAAACUGUUGGUCCAGGGUUCAAUCCCCUGUGGCUUCA